rnacentral:piRNA from 1 species
AGAAUGUUAGCACAGGUCUUUGAAUAAAUUU